rnacentral:rRNA from 1 species
CGGGUUGUCGCUGACUUUUCGUCGUGCACGCCCGAGUGCUCUCACAUACAAAUAUCCAUCUCACCCCUUUGUGCAUCACCGCGUGCGUCCCCCCCUUCCUCGGAGGGCGGGUGCUCACGUUUUUAACAUCAAACACCCUAGUGUAGAAUGUUCUUUGCGCGAUCACGCGCGAAUCAAUACAACUUUCAACAACGGAUCUCUUGGCUCUCGCAUCGAUGAAGAACGCAGCGAAAUGCGAUACGUAAUGUGAAUUGCAGAAUUCAGUGAAUCAUCGAAUCUUUGAACGCACCUUGCGCCCCUUGGCAUUCCGAGGGGCACACCCGUUUGAGUGUCGUGAACAUCCUCAACCUGCUUCGUUCUAUCGAACCAAGUAGGCUUGGAAUUUGGAGGUUUUUCUGCUGGCUUCCUCUGAAGCCAGCUCCUCUUAAAUCUAUCAGUGGGAUCCGCUUUGCUAGAUCCUCGACGUUGAUAAGAUGUUUCUACGUCUUGGGUUUCGCUCGGGAAGGACCUGCUUCUAACCGUCCCCAUCGGGGACAAUGUUCGAGAGCCGAUCGCCCUUCACGGGGUGCGAAGCUUUUCGACCCAUGAAACCUUGACCUCAAAUCGGGUGAGACUACCCGCUGAACUUAAGCAUAUCAAUAAGCGGAGGAAAAGAAACUAACAAGGAUUCCCCUAGUAACUGCGAGUGAAGCGGGAAAAGCUCAAAUUUAAAAUCUGGUGGUCUUUUGGCCAUCCGAGUUGUAAUUUAGAGAAGCGUCUUCCGCGCUGGACCG